rnacentral:tRNA from 1 species
GCUCUGAUAGCUCAGCUGGUUAGAGCGUCGUGCUAAUAACGCGAAGGCCCAGGGUUCGAAUCCCUGUCGGAGCA